rnacentral:rRNA from 1 species
AUUGAACGCUGGCGGCAGGCUUAACACAUGCAAGUCGAGCGAGCGGCGGACGGGUGAGUAAUGUCUGGGAAACUGCCUGAUGGAGGGGGAUAACUAAUGGAAACGGUAGCUAAUACCGCAUACCAUCAGAUCUGCCCAGAUGGGAUUAGCGAGAAGGUGGGGGAAUGGCUCACCAGGGCGACGAUCCCUAGCUGGUCUGAGAGGAUGACCAGCCACACUGGAACUGAGACACGGUCCAGACUCGUACGGGAGGCAGCAGUGGGGAAUGUUGCACAAUGGGCGCAAGCCUGAUGCAGCCAUGCCGCGUGUGUGAAGAAGGCCUUCGGGUUGUAAAGCACUUUCAGCGAGGAGGCGAUACUCGCAGAAUAAGGACCGGCUCACACCGUGCCAGCAGCCGCGGUAAUUC